CCGGGUUUCCUCCCGCUCAGCCAAUCAACGAUAGCCCCGGCUGGCGGUUUCCUCCUUGAAUUCGCUGCCAGCUGCUGGAAUCCUGAUGUGGAACCUCCGACUUCCCAUUGGAAGAGGAAAGGCCCAAUACCUAAAACUGACUUAUGGACAGAAACUCCUGAAGCAUGAGAAGCUUGUGGUCUCUCCGCCCUCUCCUUGCAGGGUGGGCAGCGCUGGCAUCCGGGUCGUGCCCUGCCUUCAUUUCAGCCAUUUCACAUUCUCAGCGUUUCAAACACCACCCGCCUCCCUCCUUUCCAAAAUAAAACUGAAAUUAGGUUUUAUUACUUA